UGCGCAGGCGGCUCUUUAAGACAGGUGUGAAAUCCCCGGGCUUAACCUGGGAAUUGCGCUUGUGACUGGAGAGCUCGAGUGCGGCAGAGGGGGAUGGAAUUCCUGGUGUAGCAGUGAAAUGCGUAGAUAUCAGGAGGAACACCGAUGGCGAAGGCAGUCCCCUGGGUCGACACUGACGCUCAUGCACGAAAGCGUGGGGAGCAAACA
rnacentral:rRNA from 1 species